GCAGCCGCGGUAAUACGUAGGGCGCGAGCGUUGUCCGGAAUUAUUGGGCGUAAAGGGCUUGUAGGCGGUUGGUCGCGUCUGCCGUGAAAUCCUCUGGCUUAACUGGGGGCGUGCGGUGGGUACGGGCUGACUUGAGUGCGGUAGGGGAGACUGGAACUCCUGGUGUAGCGGUGGAAUGCGCAGAUAUCAGGAAGAACACCGGUGGCGAAGGCGGGUCUCUGGGCCGUUACUGACGCUGAGGAGCGAAAGCGUGGGGAGCGAACAGGAUUAGAUACCCUGGUAGUCCACGCCGUAAACGUUGGGCACUAGGUGUGGGGGGCCUUUUCCGGGUCUUCCGCGCCGUAGCUAACGCAUUAAGUGCCCCGCCUGGGGAGUACGGCCGCAAGGCUAAAACUCAAAGGAAUUGACGGGGGCCCGCACAAGCGGCGGAGCAUGCGGAUUAAUUCGAUGCAACGCGAAGAACCUUACCAAGGCUUGACAUAUACUGGACCGCAUCAGAGAUGGUGUUUCCCUUCGGGGCUGGUAUACAGGUGGUGCAUGGUUGUCGUCAGCUCGUGUCGUGAGAUGUUGGGUUAAGUCCCGCAACGAGCGCAACCCCUAUUGUUAGUUGCCAUCAUUCAGUUGGGCACUCUAGCGAGACUGCCGGUAAUAAACCGGAGGAAGGUGGGGAUGACGUCAAAUCAUCAUGCCCCUUAUGACCUGGGCUACACACGUGCUACAAUGGCUGGUACAACGAGUCGCAAGCCGGUGACGGCAAGCUAAUCUCUUAAAGCCAGUCUCAGUUCGGAUUGUAGGCUGCAACUCGCCUACAUGAAGUCGGAAUCGCUAGUAAUCGCGGAUCAGCACGCCGCGGUGAAUACGUUCCCGGGCCUUGUACACACCGCCCGUCACACCACGAGAGUUUGUAACACCCGAAGUCGGUGAGGUAACCUUUUAGGAGCCAGCCGCCUAAGGUGGGAUAGAUGAUUGGGGUGAAGUCGUAACAAGGUAGCCGUAUCGGAAGGUGCGGCUG
rnacentral:rRNA from 1 species